rnacentral:rRNA from 1 species
GACGAACGCUGGCGGCGUGCUUAACACAUGCAAGUCGAACGGAAAGGCCUCUUUCGGGGGGUACUCGAGUGGCGAACGGGUGAGUAACACGGGAGUAACCUGCCCUUGACUUUGGGAUAACUUCAGGAAACUGGGGCUAAUACCGGAUAGGAGCUCCUGCUGCAUGGUGGGGGUUGGAAAGUUUCGGCGGUUGGGGAUGGACUCGCGGCGUAUCAGCUUGUUGGUGGGGUAGUGGCUUACCAAGGCUUUGACGGGUAGCCGGCCUGAGAGGGUGACCGGCCACAUUGGGACUGAGAUACGGCCCAGACUCCUACGGGAGGCAGCAGUGGGGAAUAUUGCACAAUGGGUGGAAGCCUGAUGCAGCAACGCCGUGUGCGGGAUGACGGCCUUCGGGUUGUAAACCGCUUUCGCUCAUGACGAAGCUUUGUGUGACGGUAGUGGGUAAAGAAGCACCGGCUAACUACGUG